rnacentral:rRNA from 1 species
GGGCCCGCACAAGCAGUGGAGUAUGUGGUUUAAUUCGAAGCAACGCGAAGAACCUUACCAGGGCUUGACAUCUACCGAAUCCCAAGAGAUUGGGAGUGCCUUCGGGAACGGUAAGACAGGUGGUGCAUGGUUGUCGUCAGCUCGUGUCGUGAGAUGUUGGGUUAAGUCCCGCAACGAGCGCAACCCUUAUUGUUAGUUGCCAUCAUUCAGUUGGGCACUCUAACAAGACUGCCGGUGACAAAUCGGAGGAAGGUGGGGACGACGUCAAAUCAUCAUGCCCCUUAUGUCCUGGGCUACACACGUACUACAAUGGCCGUUAACAAUGGGAAGCGAAAUCGCGAGGUGGAGCAAAUCCCCAAAAACGGUCCCAGUUCGGAUUGCAGGCUGAAACCCGCCUGCAUGAAGUUGGAAUUGCUAGUAAUCGCAAAUCAGCAUGUUGCGGUGAAUACGUUCCCGGGCCUU